GUAGGGGGCAAGCGUUGUCCGGAAUUAUUGGGCGUAAAGCGCGCGCAGGCGGUCUCUUAAGUCCGAUGUGAAAGCCCACGGCUCAACCGUGGAGGGUCAUUGGAAACUGGGGGACUUGAGUGUAGGAGAGGAAAGUGGAAUUCCAUGUGUAGCGGUGAAAUGCGUAGAUAUGUGGAGGAACACCAGUGGCGAAGGCGACUUUCUGGCCUACAACUGACGCUGAGGUGCGAAAGCGUGGGGAGCAAACAGGGAUUAGAUACCCUGGUAGUCCACGCCGUAAACGAUGAGUGCUAGGUGUUAGGGGUUUCGAUGCCCUUAGUGCCGAAGUUAACACAUUAAGCACUCCGCCUGGGGAUACGACCGCAAGGUUG
rnacentral:rRNA from 1 species